rnacentral:rRNA from 1 species
AAAUACAACCCUAUGUGGUGGAUCACUUGGCUCGCGAGUCGAUGAAGAGCGCAGCAAACUGCGUGAAUUAAUGUGAUUUGCAGGACACAUUGAUCAUCGAUAUCAUGAACGCAUAUUGCGGUUAUGGAUCACUUCCAUGACCACGCCUGUCUGAGGGUCGGUAUUA